CAUCACUACCAGUAUUAUUACUAUUCCUAUUAUCAUUAUUAUAGUAAUUAUUAUUUCUAUCGUCCGAAAAUCCUGUUCAAAAUAUUCCACUAAUGUGUCUCAUUCCCUGGAUUUUCCUCGGCCCCGCCUCCAUACAUCACUUAUUGUUUACCGAAGUACUAGAUACCUCUGAAUCAGGACGUGGUAUUUCAUGUUAUUUUCCAGGUGAUCAUUUACUGUAACUUGAAUUACUAUUAUACAUUUCUUCCUUGUUUACCCAUACUCGAAAAUUUGUAUAUACUCUCAAAUACGUGGCCGAUGUUUUCAUAUCCAUCUUUCUUUCUCCAUCAUCUUCCAUUCCAAUCCCAAAAUUACAAAGCACAUGUAUUUCUCACGUGCUCUUAUAAGUAACCGAAUCUCCGAUCAAGUAACUAUCUUUUCUAAAUAAAAAAUUGCACAGACUUGUCUCUAGUGGAUAGUUAAUAUACGGAGAAGCCAGAGGGGAUGUAACACCUGUGGAACAUUACAC
rnacentral:sRNA from 1 species